GACGUAGGAUGCAAGCGUUGUCCGGAAUUAUUGGGCGUAAAGCGCGCGCAGGCGGCCUUUUAAGUCUGAUGUGAAAUCUCGGGGCUCAACCCCGAGCGGCCAUUGGAAACUGGGAGACUUGAGUACAGAAGAGGAGAGUGGAAUUCCACGUGUAGCGGUGAAAUGCGUAGAUAUGUGGAGGAACACCAGUGGCGAAGGCGACUCUCUGGUCUGUAACUGACGCUGAGGUACGAAAGCAUGGGGAGCAAACAGG
rnacentral:misc_RNA from 1 species